UAGGGAAUAUUGGACAAUGGGGGCAACCCUGAUCCAGCCAUGCCGCGUGAGUGAAGAAGGCCCUCGGGUUGUAAAGCUCUUUUGUCCGGAAAGAAAAGCUUCGGGUUAAUACCCCGGGGUUCUGACGGUACCGGAAGAAUAAGCACCGGCUAACUUCGUGCCAGCAGCCGCGGUAAUACGAAGGGUGCAAGCGUUACUCGGAAUCACUGGGCGUAAAGGGUGCGUAGGCGGAUCUUUAAGUCAGAGGUGAAAGCCUGGAGCUCAACUCCAGAACUGCCUUUGAUACUGAGGAGCUUGAGUUCGGGAGAGGUCAGUGGAACUGCGAGUGUAGUGGUGAAAUGCGUAGAUAUCCGGAGGAACACCAGUGGCGAAAGCGGCCUCCUGGACCACUUCUGACGCUCAGACGCGAAAGCUAGGGUAGCGAACG
rnacentral:rRNA from 1 species